rnacentral:lncRNA from 1 species
CCGAAUUUAGUUUAAGUUCUAAGUGUAUAUUAGUUUUACUUUAAAUUUAUGUUUAUUUGUUCGGUUACGAGGACUAUCUAUGUUAAACUAUGUUUAAAUGCAUGCAUAUUUCAGUUAGAAUUUGAUUGAAUUUAUGUAAAUUUAGUUUUACUUCGCUAAUUUUAGGGGAUCAGCUAGGUAGGGCGAAAUUUUACUUAGGCCAAAUACUCCGCUACUUUUUAGGGAUGGGUUAAAAAUGCGCUUGCUAGUUGUGAAAAGGAUAGAUGUGAACAGAGGACACCACUCAGAAAAGAAAGAAAAAACAGGGGAGACCCAAACCCUACCCCCGCGGCCGCCCUCAAUUCCCAACCUCUUCCCCGCCGGAACACGGCGAGUUGCUCGCCGGAGUGCCCUCUUCCCCGAAGCCGGUAAGAAGAUAUGCCGCCCAAACCGGCCGCGCGAGGCGAUCUCAGAGCACGCUGUCCGCCGCGUUCUGAUUCAGUUUUGUCUCCAUCUAUCGAUUUGCCCUCAAAUCGUUCUUGUCUUCGUGUCCAGGGACGCCGGAACGCGGAGCCGCCGCCACGGUGUGGUUCGCGAUGCCGCCAUAGCUCUCCAUCGUCCCCUGAGUUCCUGACUAGCCCCUCCAUCCGCGGUUCGGGAGGGGGUUGAUGAGGUUGAGGAAGCCUUGGGUGACCGUGGUGGCUUCUGCUCCAGAUCACCAUGUUUGGGCUCGGGUACUCUCACACGGGAGAGCUGCAGACCUGCUGUGUUGUGGGUGUAGGUGGGUGGCUGAGGAUGUAAAUUAUGGUUCGUGAUAAUUUAAGGAGAAGAUAACAAACUUCAGAGAUAUGGUUGGAUGAUGCAAUGUAAUUUUACGACAAUAUUUUCUGAAAACCACAGAUUCGGUCCCAAAAUAAAAUAAAAUUCAAACACACGAUACUGCAGUUUAUGAAACAACUGUACUCCGGUCUUCUGGUCCUUUGGGAAAAAAUGAUACUGCAAUUACAAUAUUUAUUAGUUCAUUAUUA